UAUGUAAUCCUUGAGAAAACUGUGUAUUUUGUAUAUGUAAUACUUGAAGAAACUGUGUAUUUUGUAUAUGUAAUACUUGAAGAAACUGUGUAUUCUGUAUAUAUAAUCCUUGAGAAAACUGUGUACUUUGUAUAUGUAAUACUUGAAGAAACUGUAUAUUCUGUAGGUUCUGUAUUUAAUUCUUGAAGGUACUAUGGGUUACAGACACUUAGUCCUUGAAGAAACUGUUGCUUCUGUAGGUUCUGUAUUUAAUUCUUGAAGGUACUAUGGGUUACAGACACUUAGUCCUUGAAGACAGACACUUAGUACUUGAAAAACCUAAAUAUUUUGGUAUAUACAACCUAGAAAACAUUUAAGAUUUGAAUGCCUAAUGCAUAGACAUAUUCCAAUGUUAAACACGUUCACUUUAUAUACUACGAAAACAAAUAAUGUACUUUAGUAAUAGUAAACUUACUGGAGUUUUUAGAAGUUUGUACGUCCAUUUUGAAAAUGCUAAUAAACUAAUCCACGAACUAUCGUGUUUGUGACUGGAAAGGUUUA